rnacentral:rRNA from 1 species
AGUGGCGGACGGGUGAGUAACGCGUUGGUGACCUGCCCCAAAGUGUGGAAUAACAGUCCGAAAGGAUUGCUAAUACCGCAUGUGGUUAUCGGAUUUAGAAACUGAUAACUAAAGGAGUAAUCCGCUUUGGGAGGGACCUGCGUCCCAUCAGCUAGUUGGUGAGGUAAUGGCUCACCAAGGCUACGACGGGUAGGGGACCUGAGAGGGUGACCCCCCACAAUGGAACUGAAACACGGUCCAUACACCUACGGGUGGCAGCAGUAGGGAAUAUUGCACAAUGGGCGAAAGCCUGAUGCAGCAACGCCGCGUGUGCGAUGAAGGCCUUCGGGUCGUAAAGCACUUUUCUGAGGGAUGAGCAAGGACAGUACCUCAGGAAUAAGUCUCGGCUAACUACGUGCCAGCAGCCGCGGUAAAACGUAGGAGGCAAGCGUUAUCCGGAUUCACUGGGCGUAAAGCGCGUGCAGGCGGUUCGGUAAGUUGGGCGUGAAAUCUCCUGGCUUAACUAGGAGAGGUCGUUCAAUACUACCGGACUUGAGAGUGAUAGAGGAAGAUGGAAUUCCCGGUGUAGUGGUGAAAUGCGUAGAUAUCGGGAGGAACACCAGUGGCGAAAGCGAUCUUCUGGAUCAUUUCUGACGCUCAGACGCGAAAGCUAGGGUAGUAAACGGGAUUAGAGACCCCGGUAAUCCUAGCCGU